rnacentral:rRNA from 1 species
CCUUCCGUAGGUGAACCUGCGGAAGGAUCAUUACUGAUUUGCUUAAUUGCACCACAUGUGUUUUUUAUUGAACAAAUUUCUUUGGUGGCGGGAGCAAUCCUACCGCCAGAGGUUAUAACUAAACCAAACUUUUUAUUUACAGUCAAACUUGAUUUAUUAUUACAAUAGUCAAAACUUUCAACAACGGAUCUCUUGGUUCUCGCAUCGAUGAAGAACGCAGCGAAAUGCGAUACGUAAUAUGAAUUGCAGAUAUUCGUGAAUCAUCGAAUCUUUGAACGCACAUUGCGCCCUUUGGUAUUCCAAAGGGCAUGCCUGUUUGAGCGUCAUUUCUCCCUCAAACCCCCGGGUUUGGUGUUGAGCAAUACGCUAGGUUUGUUUGAAAGAAUUUAACGUGGAAACUUAUUUUAAGCGACUUAGGUUUAUCCAAAAACGCUUAUUUUGCUAGUGGCCACCACAAUUUAUUUCAUAACUUUGACCUCAAAUCAGGUAGGACUACCCGCUGAACUUAAGCAUAUCAAUAAGCGGAGGAAAAGAAACCAACAGGGAUUGCCUUAGUAGCGGCGAGUGAAGCGGCAAAAGCUCAAAUUUGAAAUCUGGCUCUUUCAGAGUCCGAGUUGUAAUUUGAAGAAGGUAUCUUUGGGUCUGGCUCUUGUCUAUGUUUCUUGGAACAGAACGUCACAGAGGGUGAGAAUCCCGUGCGAUGAGAUGAUCCAGGCCUAUGUAAAGUUCCUUCGAAGAGUCGAGUUGUUUGGGAAUGCAGCUCUAAGUGGGUGGUAAAUUCCAUCUAAAGCUAAAUAUUGGCGAGAGACCGAUAGCGAACAAGUACAGUGAUGGAAAGAUGAAAAGAACUUUGAAAAGAGAGUGAAAAAGUACGUGAAAUUGUUGAAAGGGAAGGGCUUGAGAUCAGACUUGGUAUUUUGUAUGUUACUUCUUCGGGGGUGGCCUCUACAGUUUAUCGGGCCAGCAUCAGUUUGGGCGGUAGGAGAAUUGCGUUGGAAUGUGGCACGGCUUCGGUUGUGUGUUAUAGCCUUCGUCGAUACUGCCAGCCUAGACUGA